GACGAACGCUGGCGGCGUGCCUAAUACAUGCAAGUUGAGCGCUGAAGGUUGGUACUUGUACCGACUGGAUGAGCAGCGAACGGGUGAGUAACGCGUGGGGAAUCUGCCUUUGAGCGGGGGACAACAUUUGGAAACGAAUGCUAAUACCGCAUAAAAACUUUAAACACAAGUUUUAAGUUUGAAAGAUGCAAUUGCAUCACUCAAAGAUGAUCCCGCGUUGUAUUAGCUAGUUGGUGAGGUAAAGGCUCACCAAGGCGAUGAUACAUAGCCGACCUGAGAGGGUGAUCGGCCACAUUGGGACUGAGACACGGCCCAAACUCCUACGGGAGGCUGCAGUAGGGAAUCUUCGGCAAUGGACGAAAGUCUGACCGAGCAAAGCCGCGUGAGUGAAGAAGGUUUUCGGAUCGUAAAACUCUGUUGGUAGAGAAGAACGUUGGUGAGAGUGGAAAGCUCAUCAAGUGACGGUAACUACCCAGAAAGGGACGGCUAACUACGUG
rnacentral:rRNA from 1 species